rnacentral:rRNA from 1 species
CCUACGGGUGGCAGCAGUGGGGGAUAUUGCACAAUGGGGGAAACCCUGAUGCAUCGACGCCGCGUGGGCGAAGAAGUAUUUCGGUAUGUAAAGCCCUAUCAGCAAGGAAGAAGAAAUGACGGUACCUGAGUAAGAAGCACCGGCUAAAUACGUGCCAGCAGCCGCGGUCAUACGUAUGGGGCAAGCGUUAUCCGGAUGUACUGGGUGGAAAGGGAGCGCAGGCGGCACGGCAAGCCUGAUGUGAAAGCCCGCGGCCCAACCGCUGGACUGCAUUGGAAACGACCGGGCUGGAGUGACGGAGAGGUAGGCGGAAUUCCUAGUGUAGCGGUGAAAAGCGAAGAUAUGAGGAGGAACACCAGUGGCGAAGGCGGCCUACUGGACGGUGACUGACGCUGAGGCUCGAAAGCGUGGGGAGCAAACAGGAUUAGAUACCCGGGUAGUC